CGCUGCCAGCAGUCCUUUACUCUGCCUUCUCACGAACCUCUACCCUUCUCCUUCUCUAUCCCUCCCUAAUCCCUAUUUCAGAUUCUCAUCACUACACACCAAUCUCUAUCCCUUCCUCACCCAUCUAACUUAUUCUUCUUCUCCUCCUCCUUCACCCAUAUCAGAGGAUCAUUGCAUCGUGCUCAAAGAUUCAUCAAUGAGCAUUGCACCCGAAAGACCUAUCGAUGAGCAUCACACCCAGAGACCCAUUGAUGAGCUUCGCACCUACCCUGCAAUUCGCUGAUGAGCAUCGGACCAUCUUGGGCACCAUUGAUGAGCAUCGGACCAUCUUGGGCACCAUUGAUGAGCAUCAUCUCCCGCUGUGUGCCAUUGUCCCUUUGCAGUUGUGAAUGCUUCAAUUGAUUUGGCUGCUGUUAUAUGCGAUUCAUGGCUUUUGGGUAUGCGAAUGCUUAGUUUUGAUUAAUUAUUGAGUGGAUUUUGAUUGAUUUUUAAUUGUUGACAUUUGUUGUUGAGACUUGCAAUAUGGUCUGCAUUUGCUUUCGGAUUUGCAAUGCUUAGUUUUGGUUAAUUAUUGAGCGGAUUUUGAUUGAUUUUUAUCGUUGAUAUUUGUUGUUGAUACUUGCAAGUUUACAGUUUUCUUCUUCUUUAUUGAUACAUGCAGUGUACAGAUUCUGCAUAUUUUGAAUCAUAAUGAUUUAUUUCUUGAAAUCAUUCGGUUUGAGAAUUUGUAUUCUCAGAAUUUGAG
rnacentral:misc_RNA from 1 species